rnacentral:rRNA from 1 species
AGAGUUUGAUCCUGGCUCAGGAUGAACGCUGGCGGCGUGCCUAAUACAUGCAAGUCGAACGAGGAGUACUUACUUCGGUUUUUACUCCUAGUGGCGAACGGGUGAGUAACGCGUUGGUGACCUGCCCCGAAGCGGGGGACAACAGUUCGAAAGAACUGCUAAUACCCCAUGUGGUCUUACUGGUUAGAGGCUGUAUGACUAAAGGAGUAAUCCACUUCGGGAGGGGCCUGCGUCCCAUCAGCUAGUUGGUAUGGUAACGGCCUACCAAGGCAAAGACGGGUAGGGGGCCUGAGAGGGUGGCCCCCCACACUGGCACUGAAACACGGGCCAGACACCUACGGGUGGCAGCAGUAGGGAAUAUUGCACAAUGGGCGAAAGCCUGAUGCAGCAACGCCGCGUGCGCGAAGAAGGCCUUCGGGUCGUAAAGCGCUUUUCUGGAGGAAGAGGAAGGACGGUACUCCAGGAAUAAGGAUCGGCUAACUACGUGCCAGCAGCCGCGGUAACACGUAGGAUCCGAGCGUUAUCCGAAUUUACUGGGCGUAAAGCGCGUGUAGGCGGUCGGGUAAGUUGGACGUGAAAGCUCCUGGCUCAACUAGGAGAGGUCGUUCAAAACUGCCUGGCUAGAGGGCGACAGAGGGAGGUGGAAUUCCCGGUGUAGUGGUGAAAUGCGUAGAUAUCGGGAGGAACACCAGUGGCGAAGGCGGCCUCCUGGGUCGCACCUGACGCUCAGACGCGAAAGCUAGGGGAGCGAACGGGAUUAGAUACCCCGGUAGUCCUAGCUGUAAACGAUGUGGACUUGGCGUUGGUGGGGUUAAAUCCAUCAGUGCCGAAGCUAACGCGAUAAGUCCACCGCCUGGGGACUACGGUCGCAAGAUUAAAACUCAAAGGAAUUGGCGGGGGCCCGCACAAGCAGCGGAGCGUGUGGUUUAAUUCGAUGCUACACGAAGAACCUUACCCGGGUUUGACAUCCAGGUGGUAGGGAGCCGAAAGGUAACCGACCCUUCGGGGAGCCUGGUCAGGUGCUGCAUGGCUGUCGUCAGCUCGUGUCGUGAGAUGUCCGGUUAAGUCCGGUAACGAGCGCAACCCUUGCUGUAUGUUAUACGUGUCAUACAGGACUGCCGGUUUAGUGCCGGAGGAAGGCGGGGAUGACGUCAAGUCAGCAUGGCCUUUAUAUCCGGGGCUACACACACGCUACAAUGGUCAGUACAACAGGUAGCAAAACCGCGAGGUGGAGCCAAUCCCCAAAACUGGCCUCAGUUCAGAUUGCAGGCUGCAACUCGCCUGCAUGAAGUCGGAGUUGCUAGUAACCGCGCGUCAGCUAUAGUGCGGUGAAUACGUUCUCGGGCCUUGCACACACCGCCCGUCACGUCAUGGAAGCUGGUAACGCCUGAAGCCGGUAUCCCAACCGCAAGGAGGGAGCUGUCGAAGGUGGGACUGGUGACUGGGACGAAGUCGUAACAAGGUA